GGAGGUCACACCUGUUACCAUGCCGAACACAGAAGUUAAGCUCCUUAGCGUCGAUGGUAGUCGAACUUACGUUCCGCUAGAGUAGAAC
rnacentral:rRNA from 1 species